UACAGAGGUCUCAAGCGUUGUUCGGAUUCACUGGGCGUAAAGGGUGCGUAGGUGGCAUGGAAAGUUUGAUGUGAAAGCUCAGGGCUUAACCCUGAAAUGGCAUUGAAUACUGCUGUGCUGGAGGUUUGGAGGGGGGACUGGAAUUCUUGGUGUAGCAGUGAAAUGCGUAGAUAUCAAGAGGAACACCAGUGGCGAAGGCGAGUCCCUGGACAACACCUGACACUGAGGCACGAAAGCUAGGGGAGCAAACAGG
rnacentral:rRNA from 1 species